GUUAAUUUUAGUGGUCAGGGUAGGGUUAGUGUUAGGGUAAUUUAGGGUAAGGGUAAGGGUUCGGUUUCCGGUUAAGGUAGGGUUAGGGUUUGGUUUUGGCGUUAGGGUAAGGGUUAGGGUUAGGGUAAGGGUUAGGGUUAGGGUUAGGGUUAGGGUUAGGGUUAGGCUUAGGAUUAGGGUUAGGGUUAGGGUUAGGGUUAGCGUAGGGUUAGGGUUAGGGUUAGGGUUAGCGUUUGGGUUAGGGUUAGGGUUAGGGUUACGGUUAGGGUUAGGGUUAGGGUUACGGUUAGGGUUAGGGUUAGGGUUAGGGUUAGGGUUAGGGUUAGGGUUAGGGUUAGGGUUAGGGUUAGGGUUUAGGGUUAGGUUAGGGUUAGGGUUAGGGUUAGGGUUAGGGUUAGGGUUAGGGUUAGGGUUAGGGUUAGGGUUAGGGUUAGGGUUAGGGUUAGGGUUAGGGUUAGGGUUAGGGUUAGGGUUAGGGUUAGCGUUAGGGUUAGGGUUAGGGUUAGGGUUACGGUUAGGGUUAGGUUUAGGGUUAGGGUUAGGGUUAGGGUUAGGGUUAGGGUUAGGGUUAGGGUUAGGGUUAGGGUUAGGGUUAGGGUUAGGGUUAGGGUUAGGGUUAGGGUUAGGG
ensembl:lncRNA